rnacentral:rRNA from 1 species
UGGGGAAUAUUGGACAAUGGAGGCAACUCUGAUCCAGCAAUUCUGUGUGUGUGAAGAAGGUUUUAGGUCUGUAAAACACUUUUAGUAGGGAAGAAAGAAAUGACGGUACCUACAGAAGAAGCGACGGCUAAAUACGUGCCAGCAGCCGCGGUAAUACGUAUGUCGCGAGCGCUAUCCGGAAUCAUUGGGCAUAAAGGGCAUCUAGGCGGUUAAACAAGUUGAAGGUGGAAACCUGUGGCUCAACCAUAGGCUUGCCUACAAAACUGUAUAACUAGAGUACUGGAAAGGUGGGUGGAACUAAACGAGUAGAAGUGAAAUUCGUAGAUAUGUGUAGGAAUAACGAUGAUGAAGAUAACGCACUGGACAGCAGCUGACGCUGAAGUGCGAAAGCUAGGGGAGCAAACAGG